rnacentral:rRNA from 1 species
UACGUAGGUGGCAAGCGUUGUCCGGAUUUAUUGGGCGUAAAGAGCUCGUAGGCGGUUGGGCAAGUCACGUGUGAAAUCUCCACGCUCAACGUGGAGGCGCCACGUGAGACUGCCCUGACUCGAGUCCGGUAGGGGAGCGUGGAAUUCCCGGUGUAGCGGUGAAAUGCGCAGAGAUCGGGAGGAACACCCGUGGCGAAGGCGGCUCGCUGGGCAACUGCUGACACUGAGGCGCGACAGCGUGGGGAGCAAACAGG